rnacentral:lncRNA from 12 species
AAAAUACGUUCCCCUAAGCUUGAACUCAAAUAGGUAGACAAGGGAAAAAAUGAAAGUUCAUGAGGGAAAUAAGUUCUGAUGUAUUCCAGUUAGAUUUUGAAGCCCAGAUCAAGCAUGAUGCUGAGCAGUUAUGGAUACUCACCAGCCGGUU